CCAGGGUGAAUCAUCGAAUCUUUGAACGCACAUUGCGCCCGCUGGUAUUCCGGCGGGCAUGCCUGUUCGAGCGUCAUUUCAACCCUCAAGCCCCCGGGUUUGGUGUUGGGGAUCGGCUCUGCCUCACGGCGGUGCCGCCCCCGAAAUACAUUGGCGGUCUCGCUGCAGCCUCCAUUGCGUAGUAGCUAACACCUCGCAACUGGAACGCGGCGCGGCCAUGCCGUAAAACCCCAACUUCUGAAUGUUGACCUCGGAUCAGGUAGGAAUACCCGCUGAACUUAAGCAUAUCAAUAAGCGGAG
rnacentral:misc_RNA from 1 species